rnacentral:rRNA from 1 species
GAUGAACGCUGGCGGCGUGCCUAAUACAUGCAAGUCGAGCGAACAGACGAGGAGCUUGCUCCUCUGACGUUAGCGGCGGACGGGUGAGUAACACGUGGAUAACCUACCUAUAAGACUGGGAUAACUUCGGGAAACCGGAGCUAAUACCGGAUAAUAUAUUGAACCGCAUGGUUCAAUAGUGAAAGACGGUUUUGCUGUCACUUAUAGAUGGAUCCGCGCCGCAUUAGCUAGUUGGUAAGGUAACGGCUUACCAAGGCGACGAUGCGUAGCCGACCUGAGAGGAUGAUCGGCCACACUGGAACUGAGACACGGUCCAGACUCCUACGGGAGGCAGCAGUAGGGAAUCUUCCGCAAUGGGCGAAAGCUUGACGGAGCAACGCCGCGUGAGUGAUGAAGGUCUUCGGAUCGUAAAACUCUGUUAUUAGGGAAGAACAAAUGUGUAAGUAACUAUGCACGUCUUGACGGUACCUAAUCAGAACGCCACGGCUAACUACGUG